rnacentral:rRNA from 1 species
AUUGAACGCUGGCGGCAUGCCUUACACAUGCAAGUCGAACGUGAAAGGGGGCAACUCCGAGUAGAGUGGCGAACGGGUGAGUAAUGCAUCGGAACGUGCCCAGUAGUGGGGGACAACCUCGAGAAAUCGAGGCUAAUACCGCAUACGACCUACGGGUGAAAGCGGGGGACCGCGAGGCCUCGCGCUAUUGGAGCGGCCGAUGUCCGAUUAGCUUGUUGGUGGGGUAACGGCUCACCAAGGCGACGAUCGGUAGCUGGUCUGAGAGGACGACCAGCCAAACUGGGACUGAGACACGGCCCAGACUCCUACGGGAGGCAGCAGUGGGGAAUUUUGGACAAUGGGCGAAAGCCUGACGCAGCGACGCCGCGUGGGGGAAGAAGGCCUUCGGGUUGUAAACCCCUUUCAGGAGGGACGAAGCCACUCGGGUUAAUAGCCCAGAGGGUGACGGUACCUCCAGAAGAAGCUCCGGCUAACUACGUGCCAGCAGCCGCCGUAACAC